CCUACGGGUGGCAGCAGUGGGGGAUAUUGCACAAUGGGGGAAACCCUGAUGCAGCGACGCCGCGUGAGUGAAGAAGUAUUUCGGUAUGUAAAGCUCUAUCAGCAGGGAAGAAAAAAGACGGUACCUGACUACGAAGCCCCGGCUAACUACGUGCCAGCAGCCGCGGUAAUACGUAGGGGGCAAGCGUUAUCCAGAUUUACUGGUUGUAAAGGGAGCGUAGACGGCAAUACAAGUCGGAAGUGAAAUACCCGGACUCAACCUGGGAACUGCUUUGGAAACUGUAUGGCUAGAGUGCUGGAGAGGUAAGCGGAAUUCCUAGUGUAGCGGUGAAAUGCGUAGAUAUUAGGAGGAACACCAGUGGCGAAGGCGGCUUACUGGACAGUAACUGACGUUGAGGCUCGAAAGCGUGGGGAGCAAACAGGAUUAGAUACCCUUGUAGUC
rnacentral:rRNA from 1 species